CCUGCCUUGCCAGCCCGGGUGGGCAUGCUGCGGGGCCGGGGCUUGGGCUGUGGCGCUUGGCUUUGCCUGUGGCCUUGGGCGGCCCCAGAGCUGACAGCUGCCCCCUUUCCACACUCCCCAGGCCGCUGCCUGCUCCCCAGGCCCAAGUCCCUUGCGGGCAGCUGCCCCUCCACCCGCCUGCUGACGCUGGAGGAAGCCCAGGCACGCACCCAGGGCCGGCUGGGGACGCCCACGGAGCCCACAACUCCCAAGGCCCCGGCCUCACCUGCGGAAAGGAGGAAAGGGGAGAGAGGGGAGAAGCAGCGGAAGCCAGGGGGCAGCAGCUGGAAGACGUUCUUUGCACUGGGCCGGGGCCCCAGUGUCCCUCGAAAGAAGCCCCUGCCCUGGCUGGGGGGCACCCGUGCCCCACCGCAGCCUUCAGGUGAGAGGCUGGGCCAUGGGCUGGUGGGUAGCGAUGGUCGCUGGAGUGCCCUCCUACCUCUCCCUCUCCUGCAGGCAGCAGACCCGACACCGUCACACUGAGAUCUGCCAAGAGCGAGGAGUCUCUGUCAUCGCAGGCCAGCGGGGCUGGCCUCCAGAGGCUGCACAGGCUGCGGCGACCCCACUCCAGCAGCGACGCUUUCCCUGUGGGCCCAGCACCUGCUGGCUCCUGCGAGAGCCUGUCCUCGUCCUCCUCCUCCGAGUCCUCCUCCUCUGAGUCCUCCUCUUCAUCCUCUGAGUCCUCAGCAGCUGGGCUGGGGGCACUCUCUGGGUCUC
rnacentral:sRNA from 1 species